rnacentral:lncRNA from 1 species
CUUCCAACAUAAUUGUGACCAACUUUGUAGUGUGAUUGUUGUGAUCAUUUCAGUCUAAAUUUGUGACUAUAUAUAAUCAAGUCACAUACAGUCACAAUUAACAUAAAUCUAGCCACAAACAUUCACUAUGAAGAUAGACUAGGUCACACUCGAUUUCCACCACCACUACCAAAUGCGCACCACCAACACCUUCAACAAAUCCCAGCCACCACCACCAAGACCAUCUGCAUCACCGUACAACAUGAAGAUCCACUGCUCGUACCUGUAAGCAGCGGCGCACCUCUUUUGAAGCCUCCAAACGUCAGCAAACAUUCAGGUCUACCAUUGCAUAUCGCCUGACAUCUUCCUAAUAAAUUCUGGCAACUACAAUUUUACCCUACCAGCAUUAAUUGCAGUAACUACCACUAACUAUAGCACCCUAACGCACCAAAAAAUAAGCCAAAGACCAGUACCUACAGACUAUCUUUUGUGCAACUCUACCUUUUCCGAUGAUGCCCAUGCCAGUACCACCACACCGGUUGACCAUACUUAUCAAUGGGCAUGUAUUUAUGGUUUAAUAUCAUCAAACAACGACAUACAAUCCAAAUUCGUAAACUUGUUCUUCGCAUAACCAAGCACGCACAUUUCAAUUUCAAUUUUUAGCUUCGACAAUAAGCCCCAUGAUCGCAAACCACCUUCUCGGACAUCCUCACAUCAUAUCGCAUCUAUUGCUACCAUGGGCCUAACCUUGCUGCAUCGAUGCACGUAAAAGUUCGUCCUUGUGUGCGACGAUUCUUCUUUAUGGGAAAGAAGGGACAAGUAAGUGAGGGUCUACCACGCACAGAGAUAUAAGAAAGAAGAAGUAGG